GUGACAGAAGAGAGUGAGCACACAUGGUGUUUUCUUGCAUGAUGGUUAAUGCUUGAAGCUAUUUGUGCUUACUCUCUAUCUGUCAC